rnacentral:misc_RNA from 1 species
GAUGAAGAACGCAGCGAAAUGCGAUAAGUAGUGUGAAUUGCAGAAUUCCGUGAAUCAUCGAAUCUUUGAACGCACAUUGCGCCUUCUGGUAUUCCGGAAGGCAUGCCUGUUCGAGAGUCAUUAACAACCGUUUCGAUCCCUUUCUUUCAGAAAUUACAAAGAGGAAAAGGGUUUGGUUAUGGUGGAGGAGGGAAAGGGAGCGUUUAGCCUGUAAAAAAAGAGGCUGUGUUCCGCCUCCCCCCCAAAAUUGUACAGGCGGUCGUGUGCGCCCACGCAUCGAGGUGUUGUAAAAGCUGCCACGGCGCUUUUCACCUGUGCAGUGCGAGAUUGGCCAGCCGGUUUAAAAACCCCUCCAAACAAUCAAAGGUUGACCUCGGAUCAGGUAGGGAUACCCGCUGAACUUAAGCAUAUCAAUAAGCGGAGGA